UACGUAGGUGGCGAGCGUUGUCCGGAUUUAUUGGGCGUAAAGCGCGCGCAGGCGGUCGCGUAAGUCUGCUGUGAAAUCUCCCUGGCUCAACCGGGAGGGGGCGGCGGAGACUGCGGGACUGGAGGGACCUAGAGGCCGGUGGAAUUCCCGGUGUAGUGGUGAAAUGCGUAGAGAUCGGGAGGAACACCUGUGGCGAAGGCGGCAUCCUGGACCGAUACUGACGCUGAGGAGCGAAAGCCAGGGGAGCAAACGGG
rnacentral:rRNA from 1 species